UACGGAGGUGGCAAGCGUUGUCCGGAUUUAUUGGGUUUAAAGGGUGCGUAGGCGGCUUUGUAAGUCAGUGGUGAAGUAUGGCAGCUCAACUGUCAGGGUGCCAUUGAUACUGCGGAGCUUGAGUACAGAUGAGGUAGGCGGAAUUGACGGUGUAGCGGUGAAAUGCUUAGAUAUCGUCAAGAACACCGAUAGCGAAGGCAGCUUACUGGGCUGUAACUGACGCUGAGGCACGAAAGUGUGGGGAUCAAACAGG
rnacentral:rRNA from 1 species